rnacentral:rRNA from 1 species
AGUCGAGGGGCAGCGGGGGCGAAGCUUGCUUCGCCUGCCGGCGACCGGCGCACGGGUGAGUAACACGUAUGCGACCUGCCCCCCGCAGGGGGAUAACCGGGAGAAAUCCCGACUAAUACCGCGUAACGCCGCGGGGCUGCAUGGCCCCGCGGCCAAAGGAAGCGAUUCCGGCGGGGGAUGGGCAUGCGGCGCAUUAGCUAGUCGGCGGGGUAACGGCCCACCGAGGCGACGAUGCGUAGGGGUUCUGAGAGGAAGGUCCCCCACACUGGUACUGAGACACGGACCAGACUCCUACGGGAGGCAGCAGUGAGGAAUAUUGGUCAAUGGGCGUAAGCCUGAACCAGCCAAGUCGCGUGAGGGAAGACGGUCCUACGGAUUGUAAACCUCUUUUGCCGGGGAGCAACGGGGUCCUUGCGAGGGCCUUAUGAGAGUACCCGGAGAAAAAGCAUCGGCUAACUCCGUGCCAGCAGCCGCGGUAAUACGGAGGAUGCGAGCGUUAUCCGGAUUUAUUGGGUUUAAAGGGUGCGUAGGCGGGCUGUUAAGUCAGCGGUCAAAUGUCGGGGCUCAACCCCGGCCUGCCGUUGAAACUGGCGGCCUCGAGUGGGCGAGAAGUAUGCGGAAUGCGUGGUGUAGCGGUGAAAUGCAUAGAUAUCACGCAGAACUCCGAUUGCGAAGGCAGCAUACCGGCGCCCGACUGACGCUGAGGCACGAAAGCGUGGGUAUCGAACAGGAUUAGAUACCCUGGUAGUCCACGCAGUAAACGAUGAAUGCUAGCUGUCCGGUUCUACGGGACUGGGUGGCAC